rnacentral:tRNA from 2 species
GCCAUAGGUCCGGAAGGUCGAGGAAGCGGUCUUGAAAACUGGCUGACCGUAAAGGGUUCCGGGGUUCGAAUCCCUGCUAUGGCG